rnacentral:rRNA from 1 species
UACGAAGGGGGCUAGCGUUGUUCGGAAUCACUGGGCGUAAAGGGCGCGUAGGCGGCUUUUCAAGUCGGGGGUGAAAGCCUGUGGCUCAACCACAGAAUUGCCUUCGAUACUGUUAGGCUUGAGACCGGAAGAGGUUAGUGGAACUGCGAGUGUAGAGGUGAAAUUCGUAGAUAUUCGCAAGAACACCAGUGGCGAAGGCGGCUAACUGGUCCGGUUCUGACGCUGAGGCGCGAAAGCGUGGGGAGCAAACAGG